GGCUGAAAAUUUGUUUCAAAGACAUUGCAAUUCGCAAGCUUCUAUCUACUCAACAAGUUAAUGAAUUCCUAGUGAGAUGUUACUGUUCUUUGUUUUCUGUCAUUUGCCUUCAUUUUGUAUUGAAUUUAUAGUCAAAUUUUAAUUUUGAAUCACAUACAUAUAUACUUGUUAUGUUUUACAUUUUUGUAUCUAUUAGAUUAUAUUGUGAUUUUAUAUAUUAUUAUUACAUCAAUAAUUUAUUGAACCUUGCUGAUCCGUUUCCAACAUAUAUAUUUAUAGUCAAAGGUGAAAUUCUUGGAUUUAUGAAAGAUGAACAAUUGCUAAAGAAUUUGCCAAUGAUGUUUA
rnacentral:sRNA from 1 species